AAGUCGUAACAAGGUUUCCGUAGGUGAACCUGCGGAAGGAUCAUUACAAAUCAUAUGAGGAGGUGAGGGUCGCUGGGUGUAAAGCCUAGCUGGCCCCACUGUCCAACAUUUACGCGUUUAUUGUGUGGCAGUAUAUUGUGACAUAAAAAAGACAACUUUUAACAAUGGAUCUCUUGGCUCUU
rnacentral:misc_RNA from 1 species